rnacentral:rRNA from 1 species
UUAAGCGACUAAGCGUACACGGUGGAUGCCCUGGCAGUCAGAGGCGAUGAAGGACGUGCUAAUCUGCGAUAAGCGUCGGUAAGGUGAUAUGAACCGUUAUAACCGGCGAUUUCCGAAUGGGGAAACCCAGUGUGUUUCGACACACUAUCAUUAACUGAAUCCAUAGGUUAAUGAGGCGAACCGGGGGAACUGAAACAUCUAAGUACCCCGAGGAAAAGAAAUCAACCGAGAUUCCCCCAGUAGCGGCGAGCGAACGGGGAGCAGCCCAGAGCCUGAAUCAGUGUGUGUGUUAGUGGAAGCGUCUGGAAAGGCGCGCGAUACAGGGUGACAGCCCCGUACACAAAAAUGCACAUGCUGUGAGCUCGAUGAGUAGGGCGGGACACGUGGUAUCCUGUCUGAAUAUGGGGGGACCAUCCUCCAAGGCUAAAUACUCCUGACUGACCGAUAGUGAACCAGUACCGUGAGGGAAAGGCGAAAAGAACCCCGGYGAGGGGAGUGAAAAAGAACCUGAAACCGUGUACGUACAAGCAGUGGGAGCACGCUUAGGCGUGUGACUGCGUACCUUUUGUAUAAUGGGUCAGCGACUUAUAUUCUGUAGCAAGGUUAACCGAAUAGGGGAGCCGAAGGGAAACCGAGUCUUAACUGGGCGUUAAGUUGCAGGGUAUAGACCCGAAACCCGGUGAUCUAGCCAUGGGCAGGUUGAAGGUUGGGUAACACUAACUGGAGGACCGAACCGACUAAUGUUGAAAAAUUAGCGGAUGACUUGUGGCUGGGGGUGAAAGGCCAAUCAAACCGGGAGAUAGCUGGUUCUCCCCGAAAGCUAUUUAGGUAGCGCCUCGUGAAUUCAUCUCCGGGGGUAGAGCACUGUUUCGGCAAGGGGGUCAUCCCGACUUACCAACCCGAUGCAAACUGCGAAUACCGGAGAAUGUUAUCACGGGAGACACACGGCGGGUGCUAACGUCCGUCGUGAAGAGGGAAACAACCCAGACCGCCAGCUAAGGUCCCAAAGUCAUGGUUAAGUGGGAAACGAUGUGGGAAGGCCCAGACAGCCAGGAUGUUGGCUUAGAAGCAGCCAUCAUUUAAAGAAAGCGUAAUAGCUCACUGGUCGAGUCGGCCUGCGCGGAAGAUGUAACGGGGCUAAACCAUGCACCGAAGCUGCGGCAGCGACGCUGAUGCGUUGUUGGGUAGGGGAGCGUUCUGUAAGCCUGUGAAGGUGUGCUGUGAGGCAUGCUGGAGGUAUCAGAAGUGCGAAUGCUGACAUAAGUAACGAUAAAGCGGGUGAAAAGCCCGCUCGCCGGAAGACCAAGGGUUCCUGUCCAACGUUAAUCGGGGCAGGGUGAGUCGACCCCUAAGGCGAGGCCGAAAGGCGUAGUCGAUGGGAAACAGGUUAAUAUUCCUGUACUUGGURUUACUGCGAAGGGGGGACGGAGAAGGCUAUGUUGGCCGGGCGACGGUUGUCCCGGUUUAAGCGUGUAGGCUGGUUUUCCAGGCAAAUCCGGAAAAUCAAGGCUGAGGCGUGAUGACGAGGCACUACGGUGCUGAAGCAACAAAUGCCCUGCUUCCAGGAAAAGCCUCUAAGCAUCAGGUAACAUCAAAUCGUACCCCAAACCGACACAGGUGGUCAGGUAGAGAAUACCAAGGCGCUUGAGAGAACUCGGGUGAAGGAACUAGGCAAAAUGGUGCCGUAACUUCGGGAGAAGGCACGCUGAUAUGUAGGUGAAGUCCCUCGCGGAUGGAGCUGAAAUCAGUCGAAGAUACCAGCUGGCUGCAACUGUUUAUUAAAAACACAGCACUGUGCAAACACGAAAGUGGACGUAUACGGUGUGACGCCUGCCCGGUGCCGGAAGGUUAAUUGAUGGGGUYAGCGCAAGCGAAGCUCUUGAUCGAAGCCCCGGUAAACGGCGGCCGUAACUAUAACGGUCCUAAGGUAGCGAAAUUCCUUGUCGGGUAAGUUCCGACCUGCACGAAUGGCGUAAUGAUGGCCAGGCUGUCUCCACCCGAGACUCAGUGAAAUUGAACUCGCUGUGAAGAUGCAGUGUACCCGCGGCAAGACGGAAAGACCCCGUGAACCUUUACUAUAGCUUGACACUGAACAUUGAGCCUUGAUGUGUAGGAUAGGUGGGAGGCUUWGAAGUGUGGACGCCAGUCUGCAUGGAGCCGACCUUGAAAUACCACCCUUUAAUGUUUGAUGUUCUAACGUUGACCCGUAAUCCGGGUUGCGGACAGUGUCUGGUGGGUAGUUUGACUGGGGCGGUCUCCUCCUAAAGAGUAACGGAGGAGCACGAAGGUUGGCUAAUCCUGGUCGGACAUCAGGAGGUUAGUGCAAUGGCAUAAGCCAGCUUGACUGCGAGCGUGACGGCGCGAGCAGGUGCGAAAGCAGGUCAUAGUGAUCCGGUGGUUCUGAAUGGAAGGGCCAUCGCUCAACGGAUAAAAGGUACUCCGGGGAUAACAGGCUGAUACCGCCCAAGAGUUCAUAUCGACGGCGGUGUUUGGCACCUCGAUGUCGGCUCAUCACAUCCUGGGGCUGAAGUAGGUCCCAAGGGUAUGGCUGUUCGCCAUUUAAAGUGGUACGCGAGCUGGGUUUAGAACGUCGUGAGACAGUUCGGUCCCUAUCUGCCGUGGGCGCUGGAGAACUGAGGGGGGCUGCUCCUAGUACGAGAGGACCGGAGUGGACGCAUCACUGGUGUUCGGGUUGUCAUGCCAAUGGCACUGCCCGGUAGCUAAAUGCGGAAGAGAUAAGUGCUGAAAGCAUCUAAGCACGAAACUUGCCCCGAGAUGAGUUCUCCCUGACCCUUUAAGGGUCCUGAAGGAACGUUGAAGACGACGACGUUGAUAGGCCGGGUGUGUAAGCGCAGCGAUGCGUUGAGCUAACCGGUACUAAUGAACCGUGAGGCUUAACCUU